rnacentral:tRNA from 1 species
GCCACCUUAGCUCAGUUGGUAGAGCAGAUAAUUCGUAAUUAUCAGGUCGUGGGUUCGUCUCCCACAGGUGGCU